rnacentral:rRNA from 1 species
AUUGAACGCUGGCGGCAGGCCUAACACAUGCAAGUCGAACGAGUGGCGGACGGGUGAGUAACUGCUGGGAAACUGGCUUAUGGAGGGGGAUAACUACGGGAAACUGUAGCUAAUACCGCGUACCCUAGGAUGUGCCCAAGUGGGAUUAGGUAGUGUGUCGGGUAAAGGCUCACCAAACCCACGAUCCCUAGCUGGUCUGAGUGGAUGACCAGCCACACUGGGACUGAGACACGGCCCAGACUCCUACGGUAGUCAGAAGUAGGGAAUAUUGCGCAAUGUGAGCAACCCUGACGCAGGCAUGCAGCGUGAAUGAAGAAGGCCUUCGGGUUGUAAAGUACUUUCGGUAGGGAGGCGUUAGCUGCAGAAGAAGAACCGGCUAACUCCGUGCCAGCCGCCGCGGUAAUAC